rnacentral:rRNA from 1 species
CCUACGGGUGGCAGCAGUCGAGAAUCAUUCACAAUGGGGGAAACCCUGAUGGUGCGACGCCGCGUGGGGGAAUGAAGGUCUUCGGAUUGUAAACCCCUGUCAUGUGGGAGCAAAUUAAAAAGAUAGUACCACAAGAGGAAGAGACGGCGAACUCUGUGCCAGCAGCCGCGGUCAUACAGCGGUCUCAAGCGUUGUUCGGAAUCACUGGGCGUAAAGCGUGCGUAGGCGGUUUCGUAAGUCGGGUGUGAAAGGCGCGGGCUCAACCCGCGGACGGCACAUGAUACUGGGGGACUAGAGUAAUGGAGGGGGAAGCGGAAUUCUCGGUGUAGCAGUGAAAUGCGUAGAUAUCG